rnacentral:sRNA from 1 species
GUCGCUUUCACCCUCAUCCCUGUGCUUGUCACAGGAAUGAGGUUCGAUGGUAACCACCGU